GACGAACGCUGGCGGCGUGCUUAACACAUGCAAGUCGAACGCUGAAGCUUGGUGCUUGCACUGGGUGGAUGAGUGGCGAACGGGUGAGUAAUAAGUGAGUAACCUGCCCUUGACUCUGGGAUAAGCCUGGGAAACUGGGUCUAAUACUGGAUACGACAUGUCACCGCAUGGUGGUGUGGGGAAAGGGUUUUACUGGUUUUGGAUGGGCUCACGGCCUAUCAGCUUGUUGGUGGGGUAAUGGCUCACCAAGGCGACGACGGGUAGCCGGCCUGAGAGGGUGACCGGCCACACUGGGACUGAGACACGGCCCAGACUCCUACGGGAGGCAGCAGUGGGGAAUAUUGCACAAUGGGCGGAAGCCUGAUGCAGCGACGCCGCGUGAGGGAUGACGGCCUUCGGGUUGUAAACCUCUUUCAGCACGGAAGAAGCGAAAGUGACGGUACGUGCAGAAGAAGCGCCGGCUAACUACGUG
rnacentral:rRNA from 1 species